UACGAAGGGGGCUAGCGUUGCUCGGAAUAACUGGGCGUAAAGGGUGCGUAGGCGGACCGUUAAGUCGGAGGUGAAAGCCCAGGGCUCAACCCUGGAAUUGCCUUCGAUACUGGCAGUCUCGAGUUUGGAAGAGGUUGGUGGAACUGCGAGUGUAGAGGUGAAAUUCGUAGAUAUUCGCAAGAACACCAGUGGCGAAGGCGGCCAACUGGUCCAAUACUGACGCUGAGGCACGAAAGCGUGGGGAGCAAACAGG
rnacentral:rRNA from 1 species